rnacentral:rRNA from 1 species
GACGAACGCUGGCGGCGUGCCUAAUACAUGCAAGUAGAACGCACAGUUUAUACCGUAGCUUGCUACACCAUAGACUGUGAGUUGCGAACGGGUGAGUAACGCGUAGGUAACCUGCCUGGUAGCGGGGGAUAACUAUUGGAAACGAUAGCUAAUACCGCAUAAUAUUAAUUAUUGCAUGAUAAUUAAUUGAAAGGUGCAAUUGCACCACUACCAGAUGGACCUGCGUUGUAUUAGCUAGUAGGUGAGGUAACGGCUCACCUGGGCGACGAUACAUAGCCGACCUGAGAGGGUGAUCGGCCACACUGGGACUGAGACACGGCCCAGACUCCUACGGGAGGCAGCAGUAGGGAAUCUUCGGCAAUGGACGAAAGUCUGACCGAGCAACGCCGCGUGAGGGAAGAAGGUUUUCGGAUCGUAAAGCUCGGUUGUAAGAGAAGAACGGGUGUGAGAGUGGAAAGUUCACACUGUGACGGUAUCUUACCAGAAAGGGACGGCUAACUACGUG